rnacentral:rRNA from 1 species
UACGUAGGGUGCAGGCGUUAAUCGGAAUUACUGGGCGUAAAGCGUGCGCAGGCGGUUUGCUAAGACAGGUGUGAAAUCCCCGGGCUUAACCUGGGAACUGCGCUUGUAACUGGCAAGCUAGAGUGUGGCAGAGGGGGGUGGAAUUCCACGUGUAGCAGUGAAAUGCGUUGAUAUCGGAAGGAACACCGGUGGCGAAGGCGGGUCUCUGGGCAACUCCUGACGCUGAGGCGCGAAAGCGUGGGGAGCAAACGGG